rnacentral:lncRNA from 1 species
UGCCAGCCCUCACAGUGCCUUCAGUGCCCUUGCACGCCUGGACAAGGCGGGUGGGGGCCCUGCCUCCCAGCCAUCACCACACACCCCACCUGCCACACCCACCCUUGUGCACUGUUGUUUCACAUUUUCAUAUGUGCAUGUUACCUGACCUAUUUACAAUGCAGACAAGAGCAGGGAGCCAUGUUGCCAGCCCUCACAGUGCCUUCAGUGCCCUUGCACACCUGGACAAGGCGGGUGGGGGCCCUGCCACCCAGCCAUCACCACACACACCACCUGCCACACCCACCCUUGUGCACUGUUGUUUCACAUUUUCAUAUGUGCAUGUUGCCUGACCUAUUUGCAAUGCAGACACGAGCAGGGAGCCAUGUUGCCAGCCCUCACAGUGCCUUCAGUGCCCCUGCACGCCUGGACAAGGCGGGUGGGGUCCACACUGCCCAGCCAUCACCACACACCCCACCUGCCACACCCACCCUUGUGCACUGUUGUUUCACAUUUUCAUAUGUGCAUGUUGCCUGACCUAUUUGCAAUGCAGACACGAGCAGGGAGCCAUGUUGCCAGCCCUCACAGUGCCUUCAGUGCCCCUGCACGCCUGGACAAGGCGGGUGGGGUCCACACCGCCCAGCCAUCACCACACACCCCACCUGCCACACCCACCCUUGUGCACUGUUGUUUCACAUUUUCAUAUGUGCAUGUCGCCUGACCUAUUUGCAAUGCAGACACGAGCAGGGAGCCAUGUUGCCAGCCCUCACAGUGCCUUCAGUGCCCCUGCACGCCUGGACAAGGCGGGUGGGGUCCACACCGCCCAGCCAUCACCACACACCCCACCUGCCACACCCACCCUUGUGCACUGUUGUUUCACAUUUUCAUAUGUGCAUGUUGCCUGACCUAUUUGCAAUGCAGACACGAGCAGGGAGCCAUGUUGCCAGCCCUCACAGUGCCUUCAGUGCCCCUGCACGCACGCCUGGACAAGGCGGGUGGGGUCCACACCGCCCAGCCAUCACCACACACCCCACCUGCCACACCCACCCUUGUGCACUGUUGUUUCACAUUUUCAUAUGUGCAUGUUGCCUGACCUAUUUGCAAUGCAGACACGAGCAGGGAGCCAUGUUGCCAGCCCUCACAGUGCCUUCAGUGCCCCUGCACGCCUGGACAAGGCGGGUGGGGUCCACACCGCCCAGCCAUCACCACACACCCCACCUGCCACACCCACCCUUGUGCACUGUUGUUUCACAUUUUCAUAUGUGCAUGUUGCCUGACCUAUUUGCAAUGCAGACACGAGCAGGGAGCCAUGUUGCCAGCCCUCACAGUGCCUUCAGUGCCCCUGCACGCACGCCUGGACAAGGCGGGUGGGGUCCACACCGCCCAGCCAUCACCACACACCCCACCUGCCACACCCACCCUUGUGCACUGUUGUUUCACAUUUUCAUAUGUGCAUGUUGCCUGACCUAUUUGCAAUGCAGACACGAGCAGGGAGCCAUGUUGCCAGCCCUCACAGUGCCUUCAGUGCCCCUGCACGCACGCCUGGACAAGGCGGGUGGGGUCCACACCGCCCAGCCAUCACCACACACCCCACCUGCCACACCCACCCUUGUGCACUGUUGUUUCACAUUUUCAUAUGUGCAUGUUGCCUGACCUAUUUGCAAUGCAGACACGAGCAGGGAGCCAUGUUGCCAGCCCUCACAGUGCCUUCAGUGCCCCUGCACGCCUGGACAAGGCGGGUGGGGUCCACACCGCCCAGCCAUCACCACACACCCCACCUGCCACACCCACCCUUGUGCACUGUUGUUUCACAUUUUCAUAUGUGCAAGUUGCCUGACCUAUUUGCAAUGCAGACACGAGCAGGGAGCCAUGUUGCCAGCCCUCACAGUGCCUUCAGUGCCCCUGCACGCCUGGACAAGGCGGGUGGGGUCCACACCGCCCAGCCAUCACCACACACCCCACCUGCCACACCCACCCUUGUGCACUGUUGUUUCACAUUUUCAUAUGUGCAUGUUGCCUGACCUAUUUGCAAUGCAGACACGAGCAGGGAGCCAUGUUGCCAGCCCUCACAGUGCGUUCAGUGCCCCUGCACGCCUGGACAAGGCGGGUGGGGUCCACACCGCCCAGCCAUCACCACACACCCCACCUGCCACACCCACCCUUGUGCACUGUUGUUUCACAUUUUCAUAUGUGCAUGUUGCCUGACCUAUUUGCAAUGCAGACACGAGCAGGGAGCCAUGUUGCCAGCCCUCACAGUGCCUUCAGUGCCCCUGCACGCACGCCUGGACAAGGCGGGUGGGGUCCACACCGCCCAGCCAUCACCACACACCCCACCUGCCACACCCACCCUUGUGCACUGUUGUUUCACAUUUUCAUAUGUGCAUGUUGCCUGACCUAUUUGCAAUGCAGACACGAGCAGGGAGCCAUGUUGCCAGCCCUCACAGUGCCUUCCGUGCCCCUGCACGCCUGGACAAGGCGGGUGGGGUCCACACCGCCCAGCCAUCACCAAUAAUAAUAAUAAUAAUAUUAAUAAUAAUAAUAAUAAUAAUAUCUACGCAGGGCACAGGUGCCCGCGUGUCUUAAGGAGGAGUGAGACAAGCUCACCCCACCAUUGGAAAACUUGAUUUCCCUACCCCGGCUCCCCUGCGCGGGGGCCGCCAUUGGCGGUCCCCUGGGUGCGGCCUCCCGGGCGGCAUCGGGUGUUGGCAAUGCCCAUCUCUCGCUCUAGCCGGUAGUACAGGUUUGCGGUGCCCCGGAGUGUGGUGACGCCAUGCAUGUGGAGACGUGUGCAGCAGGCCUUGGCUGCCUGCGGUUUGGCUCCUAGGUCUUUGAGGAGAGUUUCAAGGGUACGGGGGACAGUGCCACCGUGUCCCAGUGUAAUAACGUGCUUGGUAUCGUAGUGCACAGUCCACCCUGCAGCUCGCAUGGCAGUGGCAAGGGUUGGCAUGCUGUGCUUGUUUUUGAAUGAGCUUCUCGCUGUGGUGCAGGUCAGAGGUGUAUCCAACUUCAAGGAUGUACACUGGGUAGGCCCCUUUGUUGGCUGGUGGGGAUGUCAUGAAGCGUUCUGCUUCGGACCGGGGAAGGUUCGGGAUAAACAGAAUGUCAGGCCGCAUCCUGUUGAGGUCUGCAGCGGGCACUUGCGGGCAGAGCCAUGACGGCGGCCGCAUGCCCGCACAGUACUCAGGCAGUUCAGCUCGGGAGGUGGCAUCCGUUAUCAUGUAGCCACCACCGUUGUGACCAUGGUGUAGGCAUUCGGCAAUCGUCCGCACUGCAGUGUUGUGUUUGGCUAUCCUAGCGCCAACGAGUUGGGGGUGCGCGCAGUGGCCGGCAAGGUGACCUGCGGUGCCACGCUCUGGGUCAGAUCCGCGGCUGCGCUGGGUGUGGGCACAGAGACCACAUUUGUCGCUGUCUUGUAGUUUAAACAAAGCCAGCCGGGCCGGGCAGAUGAGGCCUCCCUGACGAGCAUUCUGUAUGAACCGGCAUAGGCCGUGGCUGGCGUCCGAGUUUGUCAUGUACGCGUUACUGGCGCGUGGGUCAAGGCUGGGUGCUGCCUCGGCCCAUUUCUCAGUGUACAGGGUUUUGUUGGCGUAUCCACCACGGCAGCUGGGGGCCAUUGCCCUGGUGAGGCCCCGGUUUAGGUCCGACACGUAGUGCGUGGCUGUGCUAUCGUCGUCCCUGGUGACCGUGAAGGUUGGCCACCAGUGCCGGGCGUGCGGGUCGUUGUCGGCCGGUUCGGAUAAAUCGGCGGGUUUUUCCUGGGUGGCGACGGCAGCCGCCCCUUUAUCGGCUUCCUUGUUGCCGUGUAGCCCGGUGUGCGAGAUCACUUUAAUCAGGGCGGUGGGUGCGCCCCGGGCGUGGCGUGCAUGGAGCAAUGCCACGACUGAAUCCAGGAGGUCCCGAUGUUUACUCAGAUGCAGUCGCCGAGGCUCGUUAAUUGCUCGUUUGAUUAGGUACAAGCUUGCAACAGAAUCUGAUGCAAUAGUGAGCUUCUUAGUUGCAAAUUCUUUACCUUCGCCACCAAAUUCUGCGAGGGCAGCACGAAUUGCUGCCAGUUCAGCUCUCGUAAUAGUGUUUGUGCACCCAGCGCCAUUUGGAUUCACGUAGACAACGCGAGAAUCGCUGAACCAGGCGCAUGCGCCGGCAACCUGGACUUCUUUGCCAUUGUCAGUUUUGAUUUUGCUUACCGAACCAUCUGUCCAGACAGUGCCAUUCACGUCGUGGGCCAGAGCAUGGUGGGUCUGGAAUCGCGCGUUAGGAAAGCGUCGUGCUUCGUCAGCCAUGGCGUGUAUCGUCUUUGGGUUAGCGUGCUGGUAUUUGGCUUGCUUUAGAAGUGAGUUUGGGAGGGCCGGGCAGGUUGGGGCCGUGGCCGUGUGUGUCCACGUGCGCGGGUCGCUGAUGUGCGUGGGUGCGUUCGCCCCCCGUUUCAGUGUGUCCACGAGCCGUUUCAGGCGGGGGGCAAAGCACUGGAGUCCGGCGGGGUUCCCAACAAUGACCAGUCGGAGCCCCUUCUGGCGUUCAGCCUGGGUGUUGGUGCCAAGUCCUGUGUCAAGGCCCGCGGUGCCCGCGGACCAGUUGGCCAGCUCGUGGCAAAGUGGGUGUUGAAGCCACUGCGUGUGGGGGAAAGUGGCCGCUUUGGGGAGCGCCAAUACAGUAAGGGUUGGUUCCUGUGAGUCACGCAUAGCCUCGGCGCAUGCGAGGGCCCACAUGAGCGCCUUCCGUGCAUCGUGGGGGGUAGAGGGGGGGUGGGCAUAUUGCAAGCCGGUCCAUGCGGUCUGGUAGGCAUCGUGCAGUGCGCCAAAGGCCCCAUCAGCAGGGUCUCGUGUCCAGUAUUCGUGGGCUGCAGUGGAGGAGUUUAGUGGGGACGCAAACAUUUCCCGAAUGUGUACUGCUUGUGUGACCCGCAGGCAUUGGACGAUGGCUGCUACUGUGCCUGCCGGCAGCGACACCUGGUGCGUUGGCAUGGCCUUGCGGUCCUGCUGCGCCGGGUCAUAGCGGUAGCGCAUGAUGAGGGCAGCGACCGCUUCCUCAAAGGCGUUGGGCCGCUGGUUGCCGGUGUGCCUGAAGCGCUCCCACAGGGUAAGGAGGCGGGGGUAGGUGAUGGUGCCCAGCCAGCGGCCACUGGGUUCAUGGACGUGCGCCUCAGCUGGGUCACGGCGGGUGCCACCAGUGGUGGUAAUUGUGUAUGCUCUGGGGGCCACGAUGUCCUUGUAGGGGUUGCACGGGCUUGUGGUGAUGGUGGUGGUCGUGCGGAUGUCACGCGCGCGGGAUGCGGUAUCCAGGGGCUCGGCGUCGUGGCGGCCUUGGCGCUGUCUGGCGGUAAGGUUCCGAUCAGGUGCGGGGCGCACUGUUCGGGGCCGCGGGCCUUGGUUGGUACCGUUUGCUAGCCGGGUUUUGCACUCCUCCAGUAACUCCUCCCAUUGUGGACUGUGUUUUAGGUCCCGUUCACGGUCCGUGCUUGGCGCCCACGUGACAUGUCGUAGGAGUUUGGUCGUCCAGGACGAGAAUAGGGGGGCCCCAGUGGGCUGCGGUGCUGCCGGCUCUGCAGCUUGGGCAGGCUCUUCAGGUGAGAUUGCGUGGGCUUGGGUUUCAGCCGGAGGCUCAGCCUCGGUCUGCGCAGGUUGUGGGCAUGGGCGCGUCGCAAGAGGGUGCUUAUAACACCUGGCAUUCUGGAUAGUUGCGUAGCCCAUGCGAACAAAAGCAGAGACAAUGCCGGCCGGGCAAAUGGACGGCUUCCACUGCACCUUCCAGUAUUUUCACGUGUCCCAGAGGUGUCCUCUCUGGCUUUGCGCNNNNNNNNNNNNNNNNNNNNNNNNNNNNNNNNNNNNNNNNNNNNNNNNNNNNNNNNNNNNNNNNNNNNNNNNNNNNNNNNNNNNNNNNNNNNNNNNNNNNAUGGUGAUGUCUGGGCCUAGGCGAGGUGGUCGCUGGUCUGCGACGGUCCCGUGACAAGUCUAAGUUCUGCACGUCAGGCGCUGGGGGUUGGAGGCUGACAGGUAAAGUAGUAUUGGUCUCGUUGCAAAGCCGCUGUUUGCGAGUUCCAGGGAGGGGUUGCUGCGAUUGUUGCGUCGGCGUAGGCGCUGCGCUUCUCACGUUCAUCUGCUGAGAUCCAUAGCUUCCACUGGAGAGCUUAGAGCCUGCAAAGCAUAUUGCGGGAUUCGUCGCGACGAGGGUCGCGGGGGUGCAAAAUGGCGCGUAUUUUUGGGGUGGCAUCCGGUGCAUAGCCGUGGUCGCCACUUCCUCUGGACCCCCUGAUGUCAGAGACGGCGUCCAAGAUCGGGCCAAGAGGCCUGCGAGAGCUUGUAGCACUUCAGGGGUAUGGAAGGGUCGGACCUCCUCCGGCCAGUGGCUCGUCCGGACGAGUACUCCCAAGAUUAGCAUCACAUAGGUGAUAAGAACCAGCAUUUUGGCCAUUUUGGGGAAGAUCCCCGCGUUCGGCACGUCCCGCUCAAAUGUUGAGCUCGUCGGCGCUCUCGUAGUGUGGAGAGGCAACAGGGAGUAUUUAGAACGAUAAGUAUACUUGGAAACGGAAAAAAGAUAUUUCCGGGCAUGACCUAUUUGCAAUGCAGACACGAGCAGGGAGCCAUGUUGCCAGCCCUCACAGUGCCUUCAGUGCCCCUGCACGCCUGGACAAGGCGGGUGGGGCCCACACCGCCCAGCCAUCACCACACACCCCACCUGCCACACCCACCCUUGUGCACUGUUGUUUCACAUUUUCAUAUGUGCAUGUUGCCUGACCUAUUUGCAAUGCAGACACGAGCAGGGAGCCAUGUUGCCAGCCCUCACAGUGCCUUCAGUGCCCCUGCACGCCUGGACAAGGCGGGUGGGGUCCACACCGCCCAGCCAUCACCACACACCCCACCUGCCACACCCACCCUUGUGCACUGUUGUUUCACAUUUUCAUAUGUGCAUGUUGCCUGACCUAUUUGCAAUGCAGACACGAGCAGGGAGCCAUGUUGCCAGCCCUCACAGUGCCUUCAGUGCCCCUGCACGCCUGGACAAGGCGGGUGGGGUCCACACCGCCCAGCCAUCACCACACACCCCACCUGCCACACCCACCCUUGUGCACUGUUGUUUCACAUUUUCAUAUGUGCAUGUCGCCUGACCUAUUUGCAAUGCAGACACGAGCAGGGAGCCAUGUUGCCAGCCCUCACAGUGCCUUCAGUGCCCCUGCACGCCUGGACAAGGCGGGUGGGGUCCACACCGCCCAGCCAUCACCACACACCCCACCUGCCACACCCACCCUUGUGCACUGUUGUUUCACAUUUUCAUAUGUGCAUGUCGCCUGACCUAUUUGCAAUGCAGACACGAGCAGGGAGCCAUGUUGCCAGCCCUCACAGUGCCUUCAGUGCCCCUGCACGCCUGGACAAGGCGGGUGGGGCCCUGCCACCCAGCCAUCACCACACACCCCACCUGCCACACCCACCCUUGUGCACUGUUGUUUCACAUUUUCAUAUGUGCAUGUUGCCUGACCUAUUUGCAAUGCAGACACGAGCAGGGAGCCAUGUUGCCAGCCCUCGCUGUGCCUUCAGUGUUCCUGCACGCCUGGACAAGGCGGGUGGGGUCCACACCGCCCAGCCAUCACCACACACCCCAC